AGAGUUUGAUCAUGGCUCAGAAUCAACGCUGGCGGCGUGCCUAACACAUGCAAGUCGAACGCGACUGGGGCUUCGGCCUCAGUUGAGUGGCGAACGGGUGAGUAACACGUGGGUGACCUACCUUCGAGUGGGGGAUAACGUCCCGAAAGGGACGCUAAUACCGCAUAACAUCCCGCCUUUGAACAGGUGGAGAUCAAAGCUGGGGAUCGCAAGACCUGGCGCUCGUUGAGGGGCCCGCGCCUGAUUAGCUAGUUGGUGGGGUAAUGGCUCACCAAGGCGACGAUCAGUAUCCGGCCUGAGAGGGCGGACGGACACACUGGGACUGAGACACGGCCCAGACUCCUACGGGAGGCAGCAGUGGGGAAUUGUUCGCAAUGGGCGCAAGCCUGACGACGCAACGCCGCGUGGAGGAUGAAGGUCUUCGGAUUGUAAACUCCUGUUGCUCGGGACGAAAAGCUCCGACCUAAUACGUCGGAGUCUGACGGUACCGAGUGAGGAAGCCCCGGCUAACUCUGUGCCAGCAGCCGCGGUAAUACAGAGGGGGCAAGCGUUGUUCGGAAUUACUGGGCGUAAAGGGCGCGUAGGCGGCCUGCUAAGUCGAACGUGAAAUCCCUGGGCUCAACCCAGGAACUGGCGUCCGAUACUGGUUGGCUUGAAUCCGGGAGAGGGAUGCGGAAUUCCAGGUGUAGCGGUGAAAUGCGUAGAUAUCUGGAGGAACACCGGUGGCGAAGGCGGCAUC
rnacentral:rRNA from 1 species